rnacentral:rRNA from 1 species
CACGUAGGGCGCAAGCGUUGUCCGGAAUUAUUGGGCGUAAAGAGCGUGUAGGCGGCCAGGUAGGUCUGCUGUGAAAACUCGAGGCUUAACCUCGAGCUGUCGGCGGAAACCAUCUGGCUAGAGUCCGGAAGAGGAGAAUGGAAUUCCCGGUGUAGCGGUGAAAUGCGCAGAUAUCGGGAAGAACACCCGUGGCGAAGGCGGUUCUCUGGGACGGUACUGACGCUGAGACGCGAAAGCGUGGGGAGCGAACAGG